AACGCGAAGAACCUUACCUGGGUUUGACAUGUGCAGGACAGGUGAUGAAAGUUACCCUCCCCUCGGGGCCUGUACACAGGUGCUGCAUGGCUGUCGUCAGCUCGUGUCGUGAGAUGUUGGGUUAAGUCCCGCAACGAGCGCAACCCUUGCCCUCUGUUGCUACCGGGUUAUGCCGGGCACUCUGAGGGGACUGCCCCGGUGAACGGGGAGGAAGGUGGGGAUGACGUCAAGUCCUCAUGGCCUUUAUGUCCAGGGCUACACACGUGCUACAAUGGUCAGGACAAUGGGUCGCUCCCUCGCAAGAGGUUGCCAAUCUCAAAAACCUGGCCUUAGUUCGGAUGGUUGGCUGCAACUCGCCAGCCUGAAGCUGGAAUCGCUAGUAAUCGGAGAUCAGCACGCUCCGGUGAAUACGUUCCCGGCCUUGUACACACCGGUAUCUC
rnacentral:rRNA from 1 species